rnacentral:rRNA from 1 species
AUUGAACGCUGGCGGCGGGCCUAAUACAUGCAAGUCGAGCGAGCGGCGGACGGGUGAGUAAUGUAUCGGGACUGCCCGAUAGAGGGGGAUAACUACGGGAAACGGUGGCUAAUACCGCAUAUUGGCGGAUAACCCAUUUGGGAGUAGCUAGUAGGUAAGGUAAUGGCUUACCUAGGUGACGAUCCCAAGCUGGUCUGAGAGGAUGAUCAGCCAAACUGGGACUGAGACACGGCCCAGACUCCUACGGAGGCAGCAGUGGGGAAUAUUGCACAAUGGGCGCAAGCCUGAUGUAGCCAUGCCGCGUGUAUGAAGAAGGCCCUAGGGUUGUAAAGUACUUUCAGUCGGGAGGCGUUACCGACAGAAGAAGCACCGGCUAACUCCGUGCCAGCAGCCGCGGUAAUUC